rnacentral:rRNA from 1 species
GAUGAACGCUGGCGGCGUGCCUAAUACAUGCAAGUCGAGCGAACAGACGAGGAGCUUGCUCCUCUGACGUUAGCGGCGGACGGGUGAGUAACACGUGGAUAACCUACCUAUAAGACUGGGAUAACUUCGGGAAACCGGAGCUAAUACCGGAUAAUAUAUUGAACCGCAUGGUUCAAUAGUGAAAGACGGUUUUGCUGUCACUUAUAGAUGGAUCCGCGCCGCAUUAGCUAGUUGGUAAGGUAACGGCUUACCACGGCAACGAUGCGUAGACGACCUGAGAGGGUGAUCGGCCACACGGGAACUGAGACACGGUCCAGACUCCUACGGGAGGCAGCAGUAGGGAAUCUUCCGCAAUGGGCGAAAGCUUGACGGAGCAACGCCGCGUGAGUGAUGAAGGUCUUCGGAUCGUAAAACUCUGUUAUUAGGGAAGAACAAAUGUGUAAGUAACUAUGCACGUCUUGACGGUACCUAAUCAGAAAGCCACGGCUAACUACGUG